UAGCCUAGUGGUUAAGGCUAUGGAUCGCCAAUCCAGAGACGACGGGUUUAAUUCCCGU
rnacentral:tRNA from 1 species